rnacentral:lncRNA from 10 species
GAGUCUCGUAUUCACAUCUUUUUACUAAGAAGGGCUCCUCCAGACUCCUGGUGUAUAUUUGUUGGAGGCCUUAAGCUGUUCGUGGCAGUACAUUGCGGAGCAUAGAACGAAACCGGGUGUGGAACACUGAGUCCCAAGGAUAGCCAUCUUCAGAGAUACGGCUCAUGACCCAGGUACAUGGUAAGCAGAGAGCAUCACACCUGAGCAGCAUUCUUACUCAGCUCAACAGCAAUAUCUGAGCCUGAGUUUCCCAUUCCAAUCACCAGGAUGCGUUUUCCCUCAAAUCCAUCUGGAUGCUUGUAUUGGCGGCUAUGGAAAUAUUGGCCUUUGAACCUCUCCAUACCUUCAGGGGGAAGAAGAGAGAAGUCUGUGAGCUCCAGAGCAACUAUGUCAAGCUAAUUUCAAUAAAACUGCAUUGCCAGCUUUUCCUUUCUGGAGUUAA